CCUAAGGUGAGGCUCCCCGUCCACCCCCACCACCAUCGAGAAACAGACCUUUCUCAAUGCCCAAUUGAUUUCCAGUACCUAGUUUAUUUAAUUCAAACCUUUUUCCUUAAUUAAUUUGAUUAGGGUGUCAUUAGGAAGUUAGGAUUCUCUUAAUCCAUGGCUUCUACGGCGAGAAAAGACGUCGAUCGGAUCAAAGGUCCAUGGAGUCCCGAAGAAGACGAGGCGUUGCGAAGACUGGUCCAAAACUAUGGCCCUAGAAACUGGUCUUUAAUAAGCAAAUCGAUUCCUGGUCGAUCUGGCAAGUCGUGCCGGUUGCGAUGGUGUAACCAGCUUUCCCCUGAGGUCGAACACAGGCC
rnacentral:misc_RNA from 1 species